UACGGAGGGUGCGAGCGUUGUCCGGAAUCAUUGGGCGUAAAGGGCGCGUAGGCGGCGCGGAUAGUCGGCGGUGAAAGCCCGGAGCUCAACUCCGGGUCGGCCGUCGAUACUUCCGGGCUUGAGCACUGUAGAGGCAGAUGGAAUUCCGGGUGUAGCGGUGGAAUGCGUAGAGAUCCGGAAGAACACCGGUGGCGAAGGCGGUCUGCUGGGCAGUUGCUGACGCUGAUGCGCGACAGCGUGGGGAGCAAACAGG
rnacentral:rRNA from 1 species